ACUGCUGGCAACACUGUCAAAUUGCGGGAAUCUCCUAAAGCACUUGCUACCGCGGCUCGCCGAAAGGAAAGAGCGCAGCACCAGGCGUAACUGCCUGGGGAUGGUAAAAACGUAAGUGAUGCUACAAUGGACAAUCCGCAGCCAAGCGCUAAGGGCCCCUGGGUCUAUGCGUGCAGUUCAACGACUAAAUGGCAGUGGGUCCCUUUUGGGGCUUAAGAUAUAGUCUAGUCCAAAAGCCGAAAGGCAUGG
rnacentral:ncRNA from 1 species